UGGGUGCCAGUGCUAGGGAUAUUGGAGGGCCGUGUGGGUGCCAGCUCUAGGGGUGUCAGAGGGCUGCGUGGGUUCCAGCACUAGGCGUAUUGGAGGGCUGCAUGGGUGCCAGUGCUAGGGACCCCUCCCAGUUCAGAAGGACUUUCAACUCCCGCCUCGCUGCCAAACCCACUGCCUGGGGAGGGGUCUGGAAACCGUCCUUGAAUUUGCCUCCCGUCUCCCCAUCCUUAGCAUCAUCCUGACUCUUCCUCUGCCCUCCUCACCCCAAAGUCCCAGAAUGCCAGGCUGCUGCACAGACGCCCCCUCACAGCCCAGAACCCCGGCCCUGCCCAUGCAGGGACACUACCCGCGCAAAGAAAACACGGGCGAUGAGAAAUGUCAGGUACCCAAAUUCCUGAAGAACAAGAUCUCUAUCUAACUGCGAAGGUUUCAAAGCAGGUUGGACGUGUUUUCUCAGACAGGUUUGAUAUUUGCACCGCAGGAAAUUUGGGCUCAUAGAGACCCUUUAGCCUGAUCUACAAAGCAGCAGGACAAACAGCGACAGAUGUUUGCAGUUAGACCUCUCCAGGAUCUGAAGCCUCCUACAGAUGAGGCUGAUGCCCAGCAAGGAUCUCACCACAAAGCUUGUCCUCAGCACGGCUAAGGGCCUUGAUGCGAAAACAGGACGGGGAUGCAGGGGUGACUGAAGAAGCAGAAAGGACUUGAAAACUACACCCUGCUCUGUCCAAAGCUCAAGAUGGUGAAAUUAACACCUAAAGCCCUGGUGGCCGGCACGGGAAAACUUUAGAAGUCCAGAGGUCUGAGGGCACCCUCCUGAAGCUGGUGAUGAGAAGAGCCCAAUGCCGAGUCGUCUUCCUGGUUGCCGGAUUCGUCUAUGCUCGCAGGGCUGUGAAGGAACGCCUGAGACGGGCGCCCCAGCAGUGCAGCCCGACUACCAGCCGAUUUGCUCAGAUGAGUCAGCAGCCUGAGAAAAACUACACAAUGGAUGAGGCCAAAUAGUAACAGAAAUCGGAGCUAAACAACAUACAGAUCCCCUUUGUGUGGCACUGAAGCCGAACGAGACCCUGGGAGUCUACAAUGAGACAGGCCUUUCCUGCCUGACAUGUGGACCAGCCAAGUGAACCCCACCACACCCGGUCACUGAACGCCGACCUCCAGGGGACCACAUACGCACGCACAU